rnacentral:rRNA from 1 species
GACGAACGCUGGCGGCGUGCUUAACACAUGCAAGUCGAGCGGUAAGGCCCUUUUGGGGGUACACGAGCGGCGAACGGGUGAGUAACACGUGGGUGACCUGCCCUCAGCUCUGGGAUAAGCCUGGGAAACUGGGUCUAAUACUGGAUAUGACCUUUCCUCGCAUGGGGUUGGGUGGAAAGUUUUUCGGCUGGGAUGGCCCGCGGCCUAUCAGCUUGUUGGUGGGGUGAUGGCCUACCAAGGCGACGACGGGUAGCCGGCCUGAGAGGGCGACCGGCCACACUGGGACUGAGACACGGCCCAGACUCCUACGGGAGGCAGCAGUGGGAAUAUUGCGCAAUGGGCGGAAGCCUGACGCAGCGACGCCGCGUGGGGGAUGACGGCCUUCGGUUGUAA